rnacentral:rRNA from 1 species
CCUACGGGCGGCAGCAGUGGGGAAUAUUGCACAAUGGGCGCAAGCCUGAUGCAGCCAUGCCGCGUGUAUGAAGAAGGCCUUCGGGUUGUAAAGUACUUUCAGCGGGGAGGAAGGGAGUAAAGUUAAUACCUUUGCUCAUUGACGUUACCCGCAGAAGAAGCACCGGCUAACUCCGUGCCAGCAGCCGCGGUAAUACGGAGGGUGCAAGCGUUAAUCGGAAUUACUGGGCGUAAAGCGCACGCAGGCGGUUUGUUAAGUCAGAUGUGAAAUCCCCGGGCUCAACCUGGGAACUGCAUCUGAUACUGGCAAGCUUGAGUCUCGUAGAGGGGGGUAGAAUUUCAGGUGUAGCGGUGAAAUGCGUAGAGAUCUGAAGGAAUACCAGUGGCGAAGGCGGCCCCCUGGACAAAGACUGACGCUCAGAUGCGAAAGCGUGGGGAGCAAACAGGAUUAGAUACCCGGGUAGUC